UUCAUUUGCUGCAACAUAAACCACCAUUUCCAUUUCCUCUCUGCACCAACUCACCCCAGUCCGCAACCAAACACUCCCUCUCCAGCCUCUGCCUCGUGAUCAUCGACCAAGAAAGUGAGAGAGCUGCACCCGGCAAGCUGAGAGUGAGAGUGAGGGAGAGCCGAAGUCUUUGCUCUGUUUUUUUUUUUUUCUGUUCGUGAGUUAAAGAAAAGAGAGUGAGACCUGCGGUUCUGCAACCAUUCCAUCCGUCAGUUGGGGAGGAGUUUGAGUGCCAAACUUCCUUCAUCUUAGUUGCGAGCUUGAGCAAGAGAAAGGACGGGCUAGCAGGCUGCAUUCUGGUUAACCGAGAGGGAGAAGUUUUGCAGCCGCUUGUUGUGUGAGCUCGAUCUUAAGCUGAGGUAAUUUUCUGAAUUUAAACUAAUUGAUUAUGGGUUGAUGAAGCCGUGUGUAAGCAUGCAUGUGGGGUUUGUGCAGUUAGGGGACAAAUUAAGUUACAAGGAAUCUGGUUGUGAAAGAAUUAGAAUUGCCGAGAGCUUGAUCUGGAAAUUUCAGCUUUAAUCCGUGAAUUUGUGAUGAUCUGAGGUUAAUUGUGGGUGUAGCUAGUUAAAAACUGAGAGAUAGUUAAUUAUUUGGUGUUGCAUGUGAACUGAAUUUCGGUUGCAUGGCUGGAAAUCUUACUUGAAAAGUGUUGAACUGCUGAACGAAUUUUUCCAGUUUAGCCGCUGGUGUUGUUUUAGAAAUUUCAUGGGAAAUUUAGCAUGAAAGUUGCUGGAAAGUUUUUGAUUCUCAUUUAGUUAGGUGUUUGACUAAUUUAGAUUAGAGGAUUAAGCCUUGCAUGAAGUUUAUUAGUCCGACUAUACAAAAAAAAAAAAAGAGAUGAAACAGAGGACUGCUAUACGCAAGCUCAUUCCAGGGUAGUGAACAGAAUUUCUGGAAUUUGGGGAUGGUUUUGGUUGCUGGCCGAACCUGUUUUGAACUAGUUAUGAUAAGCAAUUUCAUUAAGUAGCCUUGCAUGUUGGUUUUGGGUAAUAAAUGCAGUGUUUCAGCCGUGGAAAAAUUUGGACUCCAUGACCAAUUAAUUGCUGGAACUUCUUAGCUCUAGCCGGGAGAAAGAAAACAGAAUUUCUCCAACUUUUCCUUUUAAAUCUUUGGUUAUAAAUUUCACAUUAUUGCACAAGAUACACCUUAGUAUGAUAAUUGCACUCUGCAUGUUGAGCUGGAAUGGAAAAAAAAUGAGGAAUUAUGGAGAAAGUUUCAAAUUUAAACUAUCAAUUGCUGGGAAAUUAUAUGUUAGCUGAUGACAGAUUUAUGGGGAUCUCUUGGUGGAAUUAUUUGCCAAAAUUACAUGUUAAUUGUUUUAUUUCAUGUUGGAAAAUUUUGAUGGUGGGCUCUAUGAACUCCCACCCUUGGAUUGAUGAUGGAUAUAACGCUAGUUUAGUGUUUAAAUAAGUAGAUUAAUGAUACCUAGCUAGUCUAGAUUUCAAGGGAUGCAUAGUUCAAAAAUGUCCAGAUUUGCCCUGUUUUAAUCGCACCACUUUUUGCAGAAUUUUUAGGGUUUCAUGACUUGUAUAUCAUGUUUAUAUGUUGAAUAUAUAAUGUACAAAGUUUCAUUAAAAAAUAUUGAGAUUUGGUUGGUCAAUUGGAUCAAUUUCGUGAAGCUAGUAAAUCUGGAAAAACUGUUUUCGUAAUGCUUUGACCAGUUUUCGUAUUUCAGCCAUAACUCUGUGCUCCGAUGUCGAAAGGCAUUUGAAACUAGACAUCCCAGCCUUUCCAGCGGUAUAAAAUGCACAUUCUGGUCCCAUGUACGUGAGCCAAACCAACCAUUUAAGGAUGGCUACUCUGUUUCUCUGUUUUACAAAGAACGAAAUGCUGAGGCUGCAACUUGUGGCUCGAAUUCGAGCUAGUUGUGUGUCGAAUUUCAAAAUGAUGUUUUCUGUGAAAUCAUAGCUCUAUGAAUGUGUUUUCCAAUGCCUUAAACCAUGUCCAAUUCCGAGUUAAUUUGAGUGAUCUGUGAUCAAAAUAUGAAACCUGCUCUGUGUGUGAAAACCCUCCUUUUUGGGACAGAUUUGAUGCAAGGCUCAGUGUAGACUUGCAAAUUUAAUCUCUUGGUGUUAACCACCACAAAUGUUGUUCUGGGAUGACCUUAAACCUUUUCUAUGUAAAUGAACCAUGUUUAGAGAAUUUUCCCUUGGUAAAAAGUUUAGAAAAGGAAAUUUUCAUAUACAAGGCAGCUUUGCCUUAAAAUUUUGGAAACUUGAGUGAUUUUGUUAAGUGACUUCCCGUGAAUAUUUUUCUAUGAAAUUUGGUAGAGAGACAACCCUUAUAUGGUAGUAUUAUACUGCUAAUUAUGGUGUUAUUCCGAGACCGUUUCAUGGGUCAAAUAAAUUACCAAAGUUUAUGACUCGAGUUUGGAAAUACCCAUGUUUCACAAAGGAAUUUUGGUAACUUUGAGUUGCCAUAUCUUAGUAUUCAAAACUCCGUUUCUCGUUCCGUUUGUUUUGUUAUACUCUUGGAUUACAACACUAAUAGAGUUAUAAAUUGCAAAAGCUAGUUCCAAACAAGUGAAUUUUUUCGAAUUUUCAAAGUUGACUAAAAAUCAACUUAAAUCUGCCUUAUGAACUAAAACAGAGACUUUGAGCUUAUUUUUGAAUAUUUUCCAUGUGGAAUCUUAGAAAUGUGUAUUCUAGGAACUUUUAGUAUUUUAGAAGUAGUUUCCAACGGUACUAAGUUUUCCAAUUUUGGACCUACUGAGUACAAGAUCUGAUUUUUCUAAGUUUGACGUGCAAAACUGAAAUUUUGCCGAUUUCUUAUAAACUGAAAAUUUGAAAACCCGUUAUUCCUUCUUGAUGAUAAUUGGUCGCUUUAAACUUGAUUUCAUGAAGGAAAUCAUUUUCUCCUUGUGUUAAUAAAACCUCACUUUUGAACCUUUAUUUUGAGUGGUUAAGGUUCUUAAUUUGAGGUAUUGACAAGUCUAGAUGAGUGUAACUCCUUUCUUGAUUAAUGCGUGAUUAUGAGUGAAAAAUACUCGUCAAAUUGCUUCAGGUGCCCAAGCUAGUCUUGAAGAGAAUCCCGGAGGGGACAAUUAAAGACUUUCUCGCUUAAUUAUUUUUGAAUUGGUGAGUGUCCCUGCUUGUUCUAUGCCUACUUGAUUAAAGUGCUUUCUUGAUUUGAUAUGUGAUAAUUGGAAAAAUGGUUUUCUGAUCCAUUGAAGUGGGCAGUGUGUACUUUAUCACACUAGCUCUUUCGAGUGGUGACUUGCUUGAAAUAUUUUCGUGAAUAUCCUGCUUGCACUAUCCACACGCUAGACGCCACGUCGUUGGGUGAAUCCCUCGACUAGUCUAUAAUAACCACAAGCUGGACGCCACGUCGCUAGGUGAAUCCCUCGACUAGUCUAUAAUAACCACUCGACUAGUCUAUAAUAACCACAAGCUGGACGCCACGUCGCUAGGUGAAUCCCUCGACUAGUCUAUAAUAACCACAAGCUGGACGCAACGUCGUUGGGUGAAUCCCUCGACUAGUCUAUAUAUAAAAAAUAUAUAUAGUGGAUCUACAUGGACUAUAAGUAGUGAAAGUUGACGGAGGGUCAACUACGAGGGUAUCUCAUCAAGCGAGGAGAAUGACUCCCGAGAGCCCCUGUAUCCUACCUUGUGCUGUUAUACAUUUUUUUUUAAUUGAUUAAAUUUGUUUAAAUUGUAUCCGUUGUUUGAUUUAUGUGAUUGCAUGUUUUGGGGCACCACUGAACUUUAGCUCACCCCACGUUUAUUGUUUUUCUUAACAGGUUCUGGAAACUGAAAGCUGGAUGCUUACUUAAGUUUUCCUUUUGGAUUGUAUUUGAAUACUAUAACUUAUUCUGUGGGCUGUAAUGUGUUAUUUGAGAUAAUGCACUUUUCUUUUGGGUUGCCACUUGAAACUGGAAAGUGUGUAAACCCUAAUUCGAUUACUUGGCCUGUAAAUUUGUAAUAGAGAUUUAUGUAUUUAUCUACCCGGAUUGGUACGACUUUAUAUUUUGGUACGUAGCACGUGGGACGUUUAAGAGCCUCGACUGGCUAAUUUAUCUCUGCUAUCUCUGAAGUUAAGUUGGAUGUAAGGAUGAUCUUAUUCGGGAAGAUUUGUUUUAUCACAGAUUAAGUUAUCCUUUGAAGGGAUUUGGGUUAGAAUGCUUGCGUGAGUCCUGGCGAGAGUUGGGCAGACGGCCCGCCAACCCUUUGGUUCGCCUUAGGGGGAAGUGGGGUCGCCACAUUCUGCGCGGGGAGAACUUGGGCCAAGUGAUGUUAUAUUCCCUAUUAUGAUAACAACUAAAGGAUUAUGUACUCUUCUAGAGUAUAGGCUGUGAAUUAUGAAUGUUAUAGGCGUAAAACCCUUAUCAUGAUACUUGAAGAAGAUAGAUAUGUAUGUCAGAUAGGAAUAUCUAAUAUAG
rnacentral:lncRNA from 1 species